CUACACGGGUAUCUAAUCCUGUUUGCUCCCCACGCUUUCGUGCCUGAAUGUCGGUGCUGGACCAGGAAGCCGCUUUCGCCACUGGUGUUCCUUCCGAUAUCUACGCAUUUCACCGCUACACCGGAAAUUCCGCUUCCCUCUUCCGCACCCUAGCUCGACAGUCUCGAAUGCAAUUCCCAGGUUGAGCCCGGGGCUUUCACACCCGACUUAUCGAACCAUCUGCGCACGCUUUACGCCCAGUAAUUCCGAUUAACGCUUGCACCCUCUGUAUUACCGCGGCUGCUGGCAC
rnacentral:rRNA from 1 species